CUACGGGUCGCUGCAGUGAGGAAUUUUGCGCAAUGGGGGAAACCCUGACGCAGCAACGCCGCGUGAGUGAUGAAGGCCUUCGGGUCGUAAAACUCUGUCAAGUGGGAAGAACCUAUGUAAGGUUAAUACCCUUAUGUACUGACGGUACCACUGAAGGAAGCACCGGCUAACUCCGUGCCAGCAGCCGCGGUAAUACGGAGGGUGCAAGCGUUAUUCGGAAUUAUUGGGCGUAAAGGGCGCGCAGGCGGUUUUGUAAGUCAGAUGUGAAAGCCCGGGGCUUAACCUCGGAAGUGCAUUUGAUACUGCAAGACUUGAGUAUGGGAGGGGGAAGUGGAAUUCCUGGUGUAGAGGUGAAAUUCGUAGAUAUCAGGAGGAACACCAGUGGCGAAGGCGACUUCCUGGACCAAUACUGACGCUGAGGCGCGAAGGCGUGGGGAGCAAACAGGAUUAGAUACCCGCGUAGUC
rnacentral:rRNA from 1 species